rnacentral:rRNA from 1 species
AACACAUGCAAGUCGAACGCUCGUAGCAAUGCGAGAGUGGCAGACGGGUGAGUAACGCGUGGGAACCUUCCCAGUGGUACGGAAUAGCUCAGGGAAACUUGAGGUAAUACCGUAUACGCCCCUUGGGGGAAAGAUUUAUCGCCAUUGGAUGGGCCCGCGUAGGAUUAGCUAGUUGGUGAGGUAACGGCUCACCAAGGCGACGAUCCUUAGCUGGUCUGAGAGGAUGAUCAGCCACACUGGGACUGAGACACGGCCCAGACUCCUACGGGAGGCAGCAGUGGGGAAUAUUGGACAAUGGGCGCAAGCCUGAUCCAGCCAUGCCGCGUGAGUGACGAAGGCCUUAGGGUUGUAAAGCUCUUUUGGCGGGGAAGAUAAUGACGGUACCCGCAGAAUAAGCUCC